AGUUGCAGUUCAGCACAUCCAGAGUAUUCAAGACUGAGUGUUUUUAAUGUGAAUGGAGAUAGGACUAACACCUGCUAGCUAGGGAGAAUUUGGAGGACAAGAAAACCAGCAACAAACUCCUUUUCUGAACUGUUGUCUAGAUCCAACAAUGACAGCAGAAUAUGGGAGAGAGCACCAUAUCUACAUAUAUGUUUAUGGAUGCCUUGUUCAGAAAUACAGAGAACGGCAUGAAUGUGACACAUAUGGGCACAGAUUCCAUGCUUUUUUGUCUCUGAGCAGUGUAACUACAAAACCAACGGUCAAGAUGCCUCCCCACACAUUCAAGCAGAGGAACAUUGUAGGAGGAGAGCCACGUUAGUCUGUGGAAGCCAAAAAUCAGAAGUUGAAUCGGAUGAAUGAACUUGCCCAAAGGUCCGAAUGAUUGUCCAAAAGGAAGUGACAAGUAUGCAGAAUCCCACUGUUUCAAAGAAGUUCUGAUUACAUUUUACAGGGCUGGGCCCUGAAACAAAAAUAGAAAACAACAAGAGAUUGCUAAUUGGAUAAAUGAAAUAAUGAGCAUUGCUAUCACAACAAAAAAUUAAAAAUAUAAAUA